CUCAGGCCUUUUCCCAUGUUUUUGCAUCUCCCGGGGGUUUGCGAUGCUGAUCAUGCUUUUGUUGUUUAGGCCUCUGGUGACAGAGCAGAUACAGCAGGAGUCAGUGAUUUACAGCUCGCUGUUCACUGCUACAAACAGGGUGAAAUGACCAAAAAGCACAGCAAGGCACACAGGACGAGAAAAGCUGAAAUCCAUCCGCUCCUCCAUAUACCUUCACUGCCCUUGUCCUGGUUGAGGAUCAGUGAUGCCAGGUUAACCAGGCCCGGCCAAAACCUGAGAACAGAACCCCAUGCCUUGUGAGCUACCGCAGAUGUCGCAGAAGUCCAACGACCCACCCAGAGCAUCUGCCUAGAUGCGGUGGAAGCCGAAUUGAGCUCAGCUUGUUUCUCUAGGUCUGGAGGAGAGGUAGCAUCACUCAGAGAUUCUUGAAGAACACCAAGAGCCUCUGUCUAAUAUAUCAUAUAUAUUGCCCAAAGUGCUACUCCAUAAUGCAGGAGACUUGUAGUCCCGUUAGCCAAGAAAAAAGGCUACAAGCGGUCAUUUGUUCCGUCAGCUGUAACUAUUCUUAACAAAGACUUUUUUAUUAGCAGAUAGUGUUAUUAUACAGGUAUUUUAUGUAUUUUGUUUUAAAUUUAUUUAUGUUAAAUUUUUUUGAUUUUAACAUUUUAUUUAUAUUUAGUUGUAUUGAUAUAUGUUUAUUGUGUAUAGUCUUGUUUGUAUUGUGUGCUUACGUCACUGUUAAAGAUGAAUUUCCAUCUGAUGUAAAUUUGAUGGACAUUAAAGGAAUAUUCUAUUCUAUUCUAA